rnacentral:rRNA from 1 species
UCUGGCUCAGGACGGACGCUGGCGGCGUGCCUAACACAUGCAAGUCGAGCGAGGAGAUCCUCGGAUGAUCCUAGCGGCGGACGGGUGAGUAACACGUGGGCAACCUGCCUCAUAGAGAGGAAUAGCCUUCCGAAAGGGAGAUUAAUACCUCAUAACAUUGCAGUUUCGCAUGGAACAGCAAUUAAAGGAGCAAUCCACUAUGAGAUGGGCCCGCGGCGCAUUAGCUAGUUGGUGAGGUAACGGCUCACCAAGGCGACGAUGCGUAGCCGACCUGAGAGGGUGAUCGGCCACAUUGGGACUGAGACACGGCCCAGACUCCUACGGGAGGCAGCAGUGGGGAAUAUUGCACAAUGGGGGAAACCCUGAUGCAAGCAACGCCGCGUGAGUGAUGACGGCCUUCGGGUUGUAAAGCUCUGUCCUCAGGGACGAUAAUGACGGUACCUGAGGAGGAAGCCACGGCUAACUACGUGCCAGCCGCUGC